rfam:Saccharomyces kudriavzevii IFO 1802 unplaced genomic scaffold c1128, whole genome shotgun sequence.
GCGGACUUAGCUCAGUUGGGAGAGCGCCAGACUGAAGAAAAACUUCGGCCAAGUAAUCUGGAGGUCCUGUGUUCGAUCCACAGAGUUCGCA